AUCUCCCUCUCUGAUGAAGGGUCUAGGCCCGAAAUGUCAGCUUUUGUGCUCCUGAGAGGCUGCUUGGCCUGCUGUGUUCAUCCAGCCUCACAUUUUAUUAUCAAGGAGGGGAAGGGACUGAAUUAACCGCAGCCCCAGCAGUAGAUUCACUGUUUGGCAGGAAUGCGAGCGAUUUCCUUUUUGCUCACCCUUCCGGAGGGCCACGGGUUUUUCCACAUGCGGGAUUCCGGUACGUUUGAGGAAGAUCAGGACGGCCCUGGAGGGCUGGGACAACAGGUCGAAAUAGACUCGCAAAGGCAAGCGAGAAGCCAUGGUGCAGAUGAGGUCGGAGAACUGAUCACUCACAACCUCAAGCCCGCUCCCGCAACUUGCAACAUGGAGCUUGAUACAAUGUAACCAACAAGCGGCCAAUCACAAGCUGUGGAGGAAACGAUACAUUCGACAGCGAUACAGUCCCUGCUGUAGAGCGCAGAUACUAUUCAACCAGGCAAAACUAUUCCAAAGAUUAAACCAUGCUUAUUUCAGUAGAAAGAAGCAGAGAGCCCUGAGACCAUCCUGAUGGGGGAUGGACGUGAAAAGGGAUUGGAUGUCCAUGGGAAAGAUAAGGCAGGAGACACCCGGAGCCUACAAACUGGAAAUUCUGAAACUGAUGUAGAGAUGAAAUCACAGAUAUUAAAAGAUAACUGGGUUUGAGUGUGGCUCGGUGCGGUUCUGUUCAACAACUUGCAAAAUUUUUGAGCUCUUCACAGUGUCUGGUUUUGAGGAAACAUCAACAUUAGUGUAAUCAAGAUAAUAAAAUGUGAAGCUGGAUGAACACAGCAGGCCAACUAGCAUCUCAGGAGUGAUCAACUUGUUUCUACGGACCCUGACCUCAACCAGUGUCACACUGUAGUUUUACAUGAGCCUCACCAACCCCUGAUAAAUGCAAAAAGCUUCAAAAACUUCUUGCCUGUAAAGACGUUUUUAUUUCAUCUGUGGAAUAUGGGUGUCACUGGGAAGGUCGAAAUUUAUUGCAAUCUUUAGUUGCCCUUGAACCUAAUGUUUUGCUAGACUAUAUCAGAAGGCAGCUAAGAGUCAAACGCAUUACUGAGAGACUGGAAUCAUAAUUGGUAGUACAAUUAAAGGUGCCCUAAACACAUGAUAAACAAGGGCACACGAUCAACCCUGCUCUCACACUGUUAACUCUGUACUCCCUCCACCCCGAUCUAUUUCCUUGAGCCCCCUGUAUUUCACAUCUACAUAUUGCUCCUUAAAGAUAUCAUCUGAAAACAAGUGUUUCCACACAUGCUCUAGCAAUACCUGGCUCCCCCUCACUGCAACUUUUCCUGACAAUUGUAAUCACUGUCCUAAUGUAACUGAUCAAAAUCCUUGUUUCAUGUCUAAUACUAGGUCAACUUCCAUUGAUUAUAGGGAAGACUGAAGCCAAUGUCUUAAGCCCUCAGUUCAAACUCAGUUUCUUAGUCUCCUUCAUGUUCUACUUGACCCUGAGUUGAGAUUGCCAACCCUAACUGGCAUUACCCCUAACUUCCUCCUCAAUAACAUUUCCCAACUCAGCUCAUUGGCUACUGAAACAAUUAUCCACCCUUUGCUACCUCUAGACUUGACUCUUUCAAUGCCCUUUGGCCGACCUCCCCUCAUGCCCUUUGUAAACUCAAAUUAAUCCAAAACCUUCCUGCCUGUAUCUAACUUACAUCAAAUACCAUUCACUCAUCACCCCUUUGCUUGACGAUCUACAUUGGCUCUCGGCUGACAACGAUUUUAACAUUCUCAUGCAUGCUUACAAACACUUCCAUGGCCUUGCCCCUCCUUAUCUCUGUAAUCUGCCCCAGUCCUACCACUCUUCAAAUUCUUUGCCCUUCUCCAAGUCUGACUAUUAUGCAUCCCUGAAUUUUAAAUGACCAUUAACAGAUAGAACUUUAGUUGCACCACUGCUAAACUCUGGGAGUCCCAUUCUCAACUUAGCUAUAUCUCUCCCCCUUUCCUCUUUAAAGACACUGCUUAAUGUCUACUUGUCUGAUCAAGCAUGUGAUCAAAUACUCCAAUGUCUCCUAAAGUGAUUUAUUGUCAGAUUAUAAAUGACAAUGUUCAUAUGAAGCACACUGGGAGGUUUUACUCUGUUAAGAGUGCAAUAUAAAUACAAAUUAUUGUUGUGGAGUUAGGGAGGGUAAACUGGCUCAGGUUUCGUGGCUGGUGAGCCUGACCUCAGUCAUUGGUAAGAUUUUAGAGUCUGCUUUACGGAUGAGAUUGCGGAGUAUUUGAAAGUGCAUGUUAAAAUAGGGCAGAGUCAGCAUGUCUUCUUCAAGGGGAGUUCAUUCCUGAGAAAUCUGUUAGUUCUUUAAGGAAGUAAAGAACAAGUUAGUCAAAGGACAGCCAGUGGAUGUGAUCUAUUUGGAUUUCCAGAAAAUAUUUUGUAAGGUGUCACACAGGAGGCUGGUAAAUAACAUAAAAACUGAUUGUGUUAGAGAUAAAGUACUGGCACGGAUAGAGGAUUGGCUGACUGGCAGAGGCAGAGGGUGGGAAUAAAGGGGUCUUUUUGAGGAUGACAGCCAGUGGUUAGUGGAGUGCUGCAGGGGUCAGUGUUGGGACCACAACUAUUCAUGUUCUACAUUAGCGAUCUGGGCAAAGGAAGUAAGGACAUUGCAGCUAAGUUUGCAGAUGACAUGAAGAUAGGUGGAGGGACAGGUAAUGUUGAGGAAGCGGGGAGGCUGCAGAAGGACUUGGACAGGCAAGAAGAGUAGGCAAAGAAAUGGCAGAUGGAAUAUAAUGUGGGAAAGUGUGAAGUUAUGCACUUUGAUUGGAAAAAUAUAAGGCUUCAGAAAACUGAAACACAAAGGGACUUGGGAGCCCUAGUUCAGGAUUCUCUUAAGGUUAACAUGCAGAUUCUGUUGACCGUUAGGAAGGCAAAUGCAAUAGUAACAUUUGUUUCAUUGAGGGCUAGAUUACAAAAGCAGAGAUAGACUGCUGAGGCUGUAUAAAACUCUGGUCAGGUUGCAUUUAGGAUGUUGUAAGCAGUUUUGGGCCCAUACCAAAGAAAGGAUGAGCUGGCAUUGGAGGAGUUCCAGAGAAGGUUUAAAAUAAUAAUCCUGAGGAUGAAGAGCUUGUCAGAUGAGGAAUGGUUGAGGCCUCUGGGUCUGUACUCACUGAAGUUUAGAAGGUUGAGCAGGCAUUUCCUUGAGACAUACAGAAUACUGAGAGGCCUGGAUAGAAUGAAUGUGAAGAAGAUAGUUCCAUCAGUAGGAGAGAUGAGGACCUGAAGGCACAGUCACAGAGUGAAAGAAUGAGACAAGAAGUAAUUUUUUCAGCCAGAGGGUGGUGAAUCUGAGGAAUCCAUUACCGCGGAAGGCGAUGGAGGCCAAGUCACUGAGUGUGUAUUUAAGACAAAGAUAGCUAGGCUCUUAAUUAAUAAUGGGAUCAAGGGUUAUGGAGAGAAGGCAGGAGAAUGGAGUUGAGAAACUUAUCAUGUAGAUAUGAUGGGCUGAAUGGCCUAAUUCUGUCUUAUAUUUUAUGGACCAUUGUGCUGAUUGCACUCCAGUGAUUUCUAUCAGGUCUCCAUAUAGCGCAUUCAUUGGUACAGACAAGUAGAGGUUUAUUCAUAGGAAUACCUAACUCCUAAUCUUUGUUUUGAGGGUAACCUCCAGCUUUAUUGGUGCUUUGUAAAGAGCAAUAGUGACAUGAGGUAGGUAUUGGAUUCAGUGCCUUCAGGAAGGAUUCAGUUAUGAUACAGAAUUAUACAAGUAA